rnacentral:rRNA from 1 species
UACGUAGGGUGCGAGCGUUAAUCGGAAUUACUGGGCGUAAAGCGUGCGCAGGCGGUUUUGUAAGCCAGGUGUGAAAUCCCCGGGCUCAACCUGGGAAUGGCAUUUGGGACUGCAAGGCUGGAGUGCGGCAGAGGAGACUGGAAUUCCUGGUGUAGCAGUGAAAUGCGUAGAUAUCCUAAGGAACACCAGUGGCGAAAGCGACUCACUGGGUCUCCACUGACGCUGAGGCACGAAAGCUAGGGUAGCGAACGGG